GAUGAACGCUGGCGGCGUGCCUAAUACAUGCAAGUCGAGCGAACGGACGAGAAUCUUGCUUCUCUGAUGUUAGCGGCGGACGGGUGAGUAACACGUGGAUAACCUACCUAUAAGACUGGGAUAACUUCGGGAAACCGGAGCUAAUACCGGAUAAUAUUUUGAACCGCAUGGUUCAAAAGUGAAAGACGGUCUUGCUGUCACUUAUAGAUGGAUCCGCGCUGCAUUAGCUAGUUGGUAAGGUAACGGCUUACCAAGGCAACGAUGCAUAGCCGACCUGAGAGGGUGAUCGGCCACACUGGAACUGAGACACGGUCCAGACUCCUACGGGAGGCAGCAGUAGGGAAUCUUCCGCAAUGGGCGAAAGCCUGACGGAGCAACGCCGCGUGAGUGAUGAAGGUCUUCGGAUCGUAAAACUCUGCUAUUAGGGAAGAACAUAUGUGUAAGUAACUGUGCACAUCUUGACGGUACCUAAUCAGAAAGCCACGGCUAACUACGUG
rnacentral:rRNA from 1 species